AAGCUUCCCUCUUAGGGCUGAACUACAGAUUAAACAAAAGAUCCAUGGCUGGGUGCUGUGCAUGUCAUGUUGAGUUCCUUGCAGGAAAGGUUGGCUAUACAUGUAGUAAUAAAUAGGCAGAUAUUAUUGCCAAUAGAAUUGGCAGCUGAGGCUUUGGAGGGAGAACAUAAGAAGAGCCUGAAUCGGGACAAUUUUCCAUUAAACCCAGCAUCCUGUUCUUAGAGUGGCCAACCAGAUGCCAGCAGGAAACAUGGAAGCAGGAUCAAACUGCAAGAGCACUCUCCCCCUUGUCUUUGGAUUCCAACUAUUGUACUGGUAUGCAGAAGCAUUACUUGCUUCAAUGGUGGAGUCAGAACAAGCUAAUAGCCAUUGAUAGCCCUAUCCUGCAUGAAUUUGUCCGACCCUCUUUUAAACCUAUCCAUUGCCUCCUGUGGAACUGAUUUCCAUAGUUUUAACUAUGCAUUGCACAAAUAAGUGCUUUCUUUUAUCUGUCCUGAAUUUUCCAAAUUUCAGCAUCCAUGAAUUCUAGUGAUUUGAGAGAGGGAGAAACAUGCAUCAUUUCACCAGCUUCUAUUUCCCCUUUUCCUCUCCACCUUUUCCUCGCCCAUUCCUCCCAGGGGAGUCACUCUGUUCCCUAAAAUCCUAGGUCACUUUGGUUGCCAUUUUCUGCCCCUUUUCCAGCUAUGUAAUAUUCUUAAGAGAAAGGCUCUUAAGAGAUGAUAAACAAACACUUGAAAAGUAGAGUGGAGGUGCGAAUGUUGUGAAUGCCGCUCACCUAUUUCAAUCCCUUUGCUUCGCAGCUGCCAAGCAAAGAGAUGAGUCUUUGCUUCAAAAAGAUCUCACAGCCCUACCUACAUGCAGUGACAGGAAGCAACAGGAAAUGGACAGAGGCAAGAAAGUGAUUCAGCAUUUAUCAGAAUCAAAGAAUGUUGAGGUUCCUGGACGUCCUCUUCCAUUACAGUAAAGCAGAAAACCAGGAACCUCAUAUUUGUAUGUCUAACCAACAUUAAGGAAGUAAAACAUCUGGAAGGACUGAAACUCGCAAGGAUUGUGUUGCUGAUUUGCAACUGAAAGUAAGAAGUGAAAUGUUCAAGGGAGAAAAUAUAUAUGUGCCAUUUUAAAGCCUUGGGAUGGUCUUUCUUGUGUAAACAGCCAGUGAUUUUAUCUGGAUGCUGCUGAACUGGAGAAUUCUUCAAAAUCCCUGUUGAGGAACCAAAUCUAUAUAUUUAUAUCUUUGGGAAUCCACAUGGAAUCAAGCUUUAGAAGGCAAUCGAGAUGUCUUUUCAUGGGAAAUUGACUCUUCCUGGCCACAGCUGUGAGUUUCUAAGGCUAUGCUUUCAGCUUUUGGGAGAACUGAUACUGCUUUAAAGACCAGCAUGCAUAAUUGCCAAAGUUCUUAUCUGAUGCCCCCUGCUCAACUUGUAUAUUUUUAUGCUUACAAAAAAUACACAAGCUUCUCAAAAGGGAACUCAACUCUGUAGCAGCUGGAGUUUCCUACUGCUUAGAGAAAUGGGAAGCAUCACAACACAUUUUGUAACACCAUCUGUCUAGUUUUCAAAGCUUGAGCAGCUGUUAGAUAGGGUUCCUAAUUGUGAUGUGGAAAUCUGUGCGCAAACCAAACCUGCAAUCAAGGCAAUCCACUUAGAAAACCUUGUUGAAUAACUUUCUUUUAAGCACCUUUCCUCAACCUGAUUCCUGCCAGAUGUUGUUGAACUACAACUCCUAUCAGCCCUAGCAUGACCAAUGAUCAGGGAUGAUAGGAGAUGUACUCCAAAAUAUCGGGGGGAGGCACCAGUUUGGGGAAGGAUGCUUUAAAAUGACACAUUCGUUUCCAAAUCAGUGUUCCAAGCAGCAAGCUCAAAAUUCAUAUCAUAUUCAUACGGAAAAUGGGAUGCUCCCAGAUAUUCCCUUGAUGUCUAUCCCACAGCAUACAACAUAUUUUGGCCAACACAGCCAGCAUGUUUAUACUACAGAUUUGGUGAUAAGAAGCAAGCCAUCUCAUAGCAGCAUUGCUGAUUAAUCCUGCUUGAUGAACUAUUUGUGUUGCUAAGUGCAAACAGUGCUGUGUGAGCAAGACCCUGCUUUUGGCUUACUCACAUCUCAGGAGAUAAAGUGAUAACAUAAAAAAAGUCCUAAAACGCCUUGGGCUUAUGCUGAUUCUAAGAUGGUCAUGAACUAUUUUUAAAUUUGUACUUAACA